UACGUAGGGUGCAAGCGUUAAUCGGAAUUACUGGGCGUAAAGCGUGCGCAGGCGGUUAUGCAAGCCAGAUGUGAAAUCCCCGGGCUCAACCUGGGAACUGCAUUUGUGACUGUAUAGCUAGAGUACGGUAGAGGGGGAUGGAAUUCCGCGUGUAGCAGUGAAAUGCGUAGAUAUGCGGAGGAACACCGAUGGCGAAGGCAAUCCCCUGGACCUGUACUGACGCUCAUGCACGAAAGCGUGGGGAGCAAACAGG
rnacentral:rRNA from 1 species